UACGGAGGGUGCUAGCGUUGUUCGGAAUGACUGGGCGUAAAGGGCGCGUAGGCGGUUAUGUUAGUUAGAUGUGAAAUCCCAGGGCUUAACCUUGGAAUUGCAUUUAAUACUGCAUGACUUGAGAUCGGAAGAGGAAAGCGGAAUUCCUAGUGUAGAGGUGAAAUUCGUAGAUAUUAGGAGGAACAUCAGAGGCGAAGGCGGCUUUCUGGUCCGCAUCUGACGCUGAGGCGCGAAAGCGUGGGGAGCAAAC
rnacentral:rRNA from 1 species